CGUACACUCCUACGGGAGGCAGCAGUGGGGAAUAUUGGACAAUGGGCGCAAGCCUGAUCCAGCCAUGCCGCGUGAGUGAUGAAGGCCCUAGGGUUGUAAAGCUCUUUCACCGGUGAAGAUAAUGACGGUAACCGGAGAAGAAGCCCCGGCUAACUUCGUGCCAGCAGCCGCGGUAAUACGAAGGGGGCUAGCGUUGUUCGGAUUUACUGGGCGUAAAGCGCACGUAGGCGGACUAUUAAGUCAGGGGUGAAAUCCCGGGGCUCAACCCCGGAACUGCCUUUGAUACUGGUAGUCUUGAGUUCGAGAGAGGUGAGUGGAAUUCCGAGUGUAGAGGUGAAAUUCGUAGAUAUUCGGAGGAACACCAGUGGCGAAGGCGGCUCACUGGCUCGAUACUGACGCUGAGGUGCGAAAGCGUGGGGAGCAAACAGGAUUAGAUACCCCGGUAGUCCCAUG
rnacentral:rRNA from 1 species